rnacentral:rRNA from 1 species
UACGGAGGGUGCAAGCGUUAAUCGGAAUUACUGGGCGUAAAGCGCACGCAGGCGGUCUGUUAAGUCAGAUGUGAAAUCCCCGGGCUUAACCUGGGAACUGCAUUUGAAACUGGCAGGCUUGAGUCUUGUAGAGGGGGGGUAGAAUUCCAGGUGUAGCGGUGAAAUGCGUAGAGAUCUGGAGGAACACCGGUGGCGAAGGCGGGUCUCUGGGCCGAUACUGACGCUGAGACGCGAAAGCGUGGGGAGCAAACAGGAUUGAGAUAC